rnacentral:rRNA from 1 species
GUCGAGCGGAACGAUGGUAGCUUGCUACCAGGCGUCGAGCGGCGGACGGGUGAGUAAUACUUAGGAAUCUACCUAGUAGUGGGGGAUAGCACGGGGAAACUCGUAUUAAUACCGCAUACGACCUACGGGAGAAAGGGGGCAGUUUACUGCUCUCGCUAUUAGAUGAGCCUAAGUCGGAUUAGCUAGAUGGUGGGGUAAAGGCCUACCAUGGCGACGAUCUGUAGCUGGUCUGAGAGGAUGAUCAGCCACACCGGGACUGAGACACGGCCCGGACUCCUACGGGAGGCAGCAGUGGGGAAUAUUGGACAAUGGGGGAAACCCUGAUCCAGCCAUGCCGCGUGUGUGAAGAAGGCCUUUUGGUUGUAAAGCACUUUAAGCAGUGAAGAAGACUCUUCGGUUAAUACCCGGAGACGAUGACAUUAGCUGCAGAAUAAGCACCGGCUAACUCUGUGCCAGCAGCCGCGGUAAUACAGAGGGUGCAAGCGUUAAUCGGAAUUACUGGGCGUAAAGCGAGCGUAGGUGGCUUGAUAAGUCAGAUGUGAAAUCCCCGGGCUUAACCUGGGAACUGCAUC